UACGUAGGGUGCAAGCGUUAAUCGGAAUUACUGGGCGUAAAGCGUGCGCAGGCGGUUUUGUAAGACAGGUGUGAAAUCCCCGAGCUCAACUUGGGAACUGCACUUGUGACUGCAAGACUAGAGUGUGUCAGAGGGAGGUAGAAUUCCACGUGUAGCAGUGAAAUGCGUAGAUAUGUGGAGGAAUACCAGUGGCGAAGGCGGCCUCCUGGGAUAACACUGACGCUCAUGUACGAAAGCGUGGGGAGCAAACAGG
rnacentral:rRNA from 1 species